rnacentral:rRNA from 1 species
CCUACGGGAGGCAGCAGUAGGGAAUUUUCGGCAAUGGGGGGAACCCUGACCGAGCAACGCCGCGUGAACGAAGAAGUUAUUCGUAAUGUAAAGCUCUUUUAACAGGGAAGAAAGAGAAAUUUGACGGUACCUGAAGAAUAAGCCCCGGCUAACUACGUGCCAGCAGCCGCGGUAAUACGUAGGGAGCGAGCGUUAUCCGGAAUUAUUGGGCGUAAAGGGUGCGUAGAUGGCAUAAUAAGUCUUUUGUAAAAAUGCUGGGCUCAACCCAGUAGGGCAAAAGAUACUGCGAAGCUAGAGUAUGAGAGGGGCAAGUGGAACGACAGGUGUAGCGGUGAAAUGCGUAGAUAUAUGUAAGAACACCGGUGGCGAAGGCAGCUUGCUGGGUCGAUACUGACGUUGAGGCACGAAAGCGUGGGGAGCAAACAGGAUUAGAUACCCCUGUAGUC